rnacentral:lncRNA from 1 species
CUAGUAGAUUGGUGAACCUUGACUCAACUUAAAACAACAUUUGUUAGUUGAGAAAUUAUAUCUUUGUAGAUUCCUCUUUGCAUAAGCAAAGGCUAAUCACCCAAAGAGAGGGCUGAUAGGAGCAUAUUUAUGCGCCUUAGUUAGCUAGUUCUGAUGCAUCUUUGUUAUGUUUUCUUCGUUAAAGUAGUCUUUUAAGCUACUUUCAUGUGUUUUCAGGUUUAAAGGACAUGUUACAUGAAAUGAUGCAAUUUGGAGCUUUUGGAGCAAAAAGUGAGCUUGGAAUGAAAAGGACAUGCUUGGAACACAAGGUUGGGAUGAAAUUGAAGAGUUCGAGAUUUGAGGUUUCCUACUUGAAGUAGGAAAGCUAAGCCUAAAAGUUUCCAUUUUGGGUUGAUCUUUCCUAAAUCGGAAUUGGCAACCAAAGUUUCUAAAGUUGGAAGUUUCUAUUCUUGGAGGUUUCCAUUUUCGUGAGUUUCUAUUCUCGGCUUUGGGCUUUUAGAUGACUUAAACCCUAAUUCCUUGUGAACCCUAAGUCCAUGCCGCAUCCUAGGGCCUAAUCAUUCAAUUUCUGCCAUGUUAAACCCUAAUCCAUUUCUCCUAAGCCCAUGCCGCACCUAAUGUUCUAGAAACCCAAUUUUCUGGUGGAUUUCCAACCCUAGCCGCACCUAACCCUAGCCCAUUGUCUAAUCUGAUUUCUUUAGGGUUUAGGUGCCUAUAUAUAUGUGUUUUACAUCCUUUGGCCGAUCCUCUCCCAUUCUAAAAAUCAGAAAUUCAUCCAACCCUUAUUUCCCCACCUUGCCGCAGCCACCUUCAUCCAUUCCAGCCACUUCCCAACCUUGCCGCAGCCACCAUCCACCUCCAUACACCAUUCUACACUUCCCUCCACCACCCCCACACCUUGCCGCACCACCAUAUCAUCCUAACUCCAUUCUUGAACCAAAACCACAUCCAAAAACCCCCAAAACCAUCUCUGCCGCAGCAAGGAGAAGAGAAGAGGAGCUUGACGUGCAGAAAUUCAAAGUGGAAU